CCUUCACUUGUGUCGUCAUCAAGGGAAGUAGGUGGUGGUGGUAGUGGCGGCCACGUUGGUUUUCCCUCAAACUACUUCUGGGCGCCGUUGUGUGUGAUUCUCAGUGUUCUUAGUGAACCCGUUGACUCCUGUCAGUGUGUGAGACCCGUGAAUGGAGGACUGCGUGAACUGAUUAAGGAAAAAGAGGAGAAAGGAGUACCGAGCAGUGUUGGAUGCCGCAGGUCAAGGUGAGCGGUCUAUAUCUGGUGGAUGUCAGAGGUGCUGGUGCCUGUCAUUACACUCUGUUCCUUCCCAAUAAGACGACCCUGAAUUCUUUGCGUGUUUGUGGGUUCCACUUCUGAGGAGGAAAAUCAACGCUUCAUGGUGUGGCUGUGGUGAUUAGCAGCGGUGGUGGUGGUGGUGGAGGUGGUGUUGGUGACAAAGAUGGGUCAUGCCGUGCUUGUGGCUGGAAGUGGUUGCGUGUUGCGGAGGAAGGAGUGUGAGGAUUGUGUGUAGGCCGGGGGCAGGUGGAGAUAUGGAUGAGGCAGAAAGGACAGAACGUCAGGUUGAGAAGAAUGAGAUAGUGAAGGAAGAUGUACGUACCUGCAGGUGGUGGGGAGGGAAGAAGACGGAAAGUAAGGGCAAAGAAGGCAGGUGGUUGGAGGAGGAAGGAGACAAAGAAGGGAGAGAGGUGACACCGAAGAAGAUAUAAAUAAGAAAAACAAAGUGAGGGGAGAGAAGGAAGAAUGUCGGGGAGGUGAGAGAAGAGAAAACUGGGAAGAGACAAAGUAAGGGAGAAGAGAGAAUUAGGGGAAGAAACAAAAUGGAGGAAAUUAAAAAGCUUGUGGGGGAGAUGAAAAAAAAAUUAUGUAGAAGGCAAAAAUGGUGAGAAGCGAGACCAAAUGGAAGAGGUUAUAGUUUGUCCUUACUGCCUCUAAAUACCACUUCUUUACUGACUUCAUAUUAAUUUUUCUUCUGUCCUGCCUGCUUACUCGCAUAUUAAGUGUUUAUUACCUUAGUCACCGUCUUGUUUCGUGAUGCUUGCUGCUGUGGUGAAUGAAAUACUGCUGGGUUGUGAUGGUGAUAAUCUGUCAGUAAUAUGUAGAGACACUUUCUUCCCCGGCACUACUAAUGACGCGUACAGCUGUGGUCGCCAAACUUUCAGUAACGAAGGACCCAUAAUUUUACAAAUUUUGCGUGUGGUCCUUCAUAUGCAGUAAUUACCAUUUUUACUCACAUUAAUAUAAAAUCUUAUUAUAUGAUAAGAUAAAUAGGAAGGCGAUGUGGCAGGUUAUUCAGGUCGGAAGUUACUUAGAACUAUGAAAAGUUGUUGCGGAGAAAGUGUUAGGUUAUGUGAGGGCUGGUAAAGAAGGGGAGUGCACUCAGCAAGGGAUGUGGUAGGCUUCUCUGGUUCAUCGUCUUCAUAGCUGGCGCAUUGGGGAAAGUGAAAGCUGGGAUGAGGGAACAAGGCCUGUGAAAGGUUCAUAGAGGUCAGAGGAAGUGGGAUGGAGACGAUAGACCACUAGUUACUGGUUAUACAGAGAAACUGCAAAGGAUAGUUACAGAAUUUGAAAAUUUAACAACGUAUACAUUAUUCAAAUUUAUUUAAUUCGAUAAUUGAAUCUGCUAUAUUUCUAAAACUAUUUUAUCUGAUACUUUUACCUUCUGACUACCUGAUGAUGCAUUAAGAAAUUCAUGAUCACUGUAUUAUUGAGCAAGUUUCACGUGCAGUGUGGCCAGCCAGCCACCCACCCUACACAGAUAUCGGCGAAUAGUUGAGUUAAUACGAAGGUGGAGGUAAAGGGAGCCUGUCGGUAGGCUUAAGUAAGGCACCGACGAUUGAAGGACAAAGGAAAGGAGAAAAUCAUCGCGCUGUCUCCUGCUUGUUCUUCACCUGCACUCUUUGGCGCCAGUAUUGUACCUUGGCCAGCCAGGAUUGUGGAGUCCACCGGCUGGGGAAACAUGUAGUGUACUGUGAUGUUAGU